GAAAAGGGGGAGCUGGUCAAUCACCAACGGUCUUCCAUGCCAGUUCCCGACCGGAAACAGUUGCAACAACUUGUGGUGGUGCGAUAAUGGUGACACAGGUUGGCGACGGUGGUCUCUAACCUAAAAACGACAUAAAUGUGAAAAACUAUAUUUAUGUGUUGAUUUACAUUUAUCAGUGUUGAGGUAAUCUGUUUUGUCCACAGGUAACCCCUGUCUACCCCAGUCUAUUUCCGAUCUCUCGCUUUACGCAUUUUAUGUCAACCAAUUCGAUUUAAGGGUUUGAAUAAUCUCACAUGUAUUUUUUUUCUAACACCUUACGCUCACCAAUUAAGUUUAGAGUUUGAAGGUUCAGUUUAGAAGGUUCUGUGAAGAAAGAAUGUGAUAUAAUGGAUCAGAAGCCUAAGUUAGUUAAGUUGAUUACGUCGGUGCCACUUACGGGUUAGGUUUAAGUAAGAAGGAACAGAGAGUUGUGGAGGAUAGGAAGGUGAGUUUAGCAAGGAUAGAGACCGGGAAUUUUGAAGAGAAGGCUGAUUGGUUGUUGCUUGGAUGGACUGCGAUUAUUAGGUUAUCAACUAUAAAAGUGCCGAAACUUGAAGAUAAUGAGAUUGUCCACUAGAUGGGUCUCAUUUUCAAUUUUUUUGAGGGCCCAAACAUAAGGAAUGCAUAAACCAAACAACAACUUUCAAGUAAUCACACCCAUGUCUACAAGCCCGAUUUUUCCUAGGUUGUUUUUCUAUGAAUAUGGCUUAAUUGAUGCAAUUUGAACAUACGGGAAGCGGUUCUUAUAAAUGCAGCAGAGGACCCCUGGUUGACUAAGAGGCUCUUGUGGAGCAUUUGAAGCAUAAUGAUUUUAUCUUUACUUUUGAAACACUUGUAGAGAUAGUGUUCGAUUUUACUUUUUGUUGGUUAUUAUAAAGCUGCUUUGAUGAUUAUAAACUUUUGCAUUGUGUAUGUCGAGAUGACAUUCGAUCAUGUCAGCAAAGAGAAAAAGGAAAAUAUCACACCAACUAAGAUAUAGCUAACAUCUCAAAGCUUCCUUCUCAACUCCAAGAUAUAAUUUUGAGAAUGGUCCUAAAGGUGAUUAGAGAAUGUCACUGAAGUCAAAGUAGAGAGUUGACUUUCUAAAUCCUGGUUGUGGCUAACGCAGACUCGCGUAGGAAUCUGGUUUAUCUGAGUUGCCCUCAGUACAGGUUUGGAUAUCUAUUUCCUAUGGAUUUUUUUUUUUUUUGUUUUUGGACGACUAACUGCUUUCCACGUGUAAACUCACCCUUUCGGAGCUAUCACUACAAGAGAAAAGAGCAUUAGGGGCGACAUCUUUAGGUGCGACAUAUAAAAAGUAGCCCCUAAAGGACGAAUCCUUGUUUUAGCUUUGGACAACAAGUCAUGGCCGUAGAUUAGGUAAAUAAUCCAAUGGCUGAUAUUAUUUUUCCCAAGUCGCCCCUAAUUGUGAGUUAAAACCCUUGGCGGGCUUGUUUCCCAACACUUCUCCAUUUCCCCUCCAAAGCAACACUUCCCCCUUUCCCCUCCAAACCCUACCUGCCACACACAACACUUCCCCCUUCCCCCUCCAAACCCUACCUGCCACGCCACCAGUAGGAAGAAUGUGCUGUUCAAAUCGCAAGGUUUCUGUAUGGUUUAUGUAGACUUUUUUUUUUUGAACGGCUAACUGCUUUCCACGUGUAAACCCACCCUUUCGGAGCUAUGUCCAAAGGCCGACUACUCGACCACCGCUAGAAAGCGUAGCACACCCCUGAUGCGCGGAAACCCCGUGGAAUAGGUAAAACCGCGCCCCCCCCUUGGACUCAAACCCGGGUAAAACCCCGGGCCAAGCCUUCACCGAGAUGUCCAAAUACCCAGCCUCAGCCAGGGAUCGAACCGGUGCCUCCUAAGAAGACAGCCGGCUUCCCCACCAACUGAGCCAGGGAUCGAACCGGUGCCUCCUAAGAAGACAGCAGACUUCUCUCAUAUUUUGUAUUUCGAUUAGUUUGAAGGCAAUCACCCACUCAAGGCCUCGAGCAUUUGUCAUGCACCACUAAAAGACAAUUGAUGGAUGGCCUUAAUGCGGUAUACAUGAAGCGUUAUAGAAGCCGAAAAGCCAAAGCAAAAGAAGAAUUUUUAGCAAACGGAGGGGAAACUGAUGUAGCGAGAGCAAGGGCCAACAUCCCCAAGGGUAUGAGUGAAGAGAAUUGGAAUAAAACCGUAGACUAUUUCUUGACCAAAGAACAUAAGGACCGGUCAUGUGCCAACACAUCAAAUCGUCAAAAGCAACUUUACACAAACCGUGGGGGAUUGUCGACAUAUAGUAGUUUUUGUUUCAAAAAAGAUAAGACCAGACUCGAAGCGUUUAAAAAUGGUCAUACUCUUAAAGAUGGAAGGUUUGCCAGCGAGCUAGAGGAGCAAAAAUACGAAGAAUUACAAGCAGAGUUUGAGUCCCAAAGUUAACCCAAUAUAGAAGACGAAUUUGGAGAAGGUAGUUCGUCACAAGUGAAUUAAGUUCAAGUAUUUGAAAAGGUGUUUGGUGCUCGGCGCGGGCAUUAUAUAGGUAUGGGGCGUAAACCUUCACUAUCUAGAUUCGCACCACCGAGUUGUGUUGGUCCUCAUGAGAAGGAGCAAACACCUCCAGCACUUACAGAGGAUUUCCUUGAUGGUUUGUUAGAAAACGAAAGUUUUUUAGAACGCCUCUCAAAAUUCAUGAACUCUAAGAAGGCUUCAAAGAAUGGCAAUGAAGACAACAUGGAUGAGGAUCAAGAAUGAUGAAAAAAAGAAACUUGAUGUUUAUUAUGUUUUAUUUUAGACUUAUAACUUAACUAGACAAAGAAACGUGAAACGUGAUGUUAUUAUGGCUUAUUUUUGAUUUGAUA